rnacentral:rRNA from 1 species
UAGGUAGGUGGUCUCAUUUGUCUGGGGUGAAAGCCUUGAGCUUAACUCAAGAAGUGCCCCAGAAACGGUGAGACUGGAGUCCUGGAGAGGGUCGUGGAAUUCCCGGUGUAGCGGUGAAAUGCGUAGAGAUCGGGAGGAACACCAGAGGCGAAAGCGGCGACCUGGACAGGUACUGACACUCAACUACGAAAGCGUGGGGAGCAAACAGGAUUAGAUACCCUGGUAGUCCACGCUGUAAACGAUGGGUACUAGGUUUGGUGGGUCUUGACCCCCGCCGAACCGGCGCUAACGCACUAAGUACCCCGCCUGGGAAGUACGGUCGCAAGACUAAA